rnacentral:rRNA from 1 species
UUGGGAGCUAAAAUAUGACAUGCGAACUAGGGUACUACGAGCCUUAAAAGCUUAAAACCCAAAAAGCUUGGCGGUGCUACAGACUAAAUGGGGGAACCUGCUCCUUAAUCGAUAGUCCGCGAUAGACCUGACCUCUUUUUGCUAUCUCAGCUCAUAUACCGUCGUCGAUCAGUUUGUCCUUGAGGGAUAGAAAGCAGGCUGGAGAAAGGUUAGUUUUUGACGUCAGAUCAAGGUGUGGCAAAUAGGGAGGGGAGGGUGGGUUACAAUUAUUAUAUUAAUUAUAAAAACGGAGAAUUCCUUGAAAUAUGAAUGGUUGAAGGCGGACUCAUAAGUAAGAUAGCUAAUAUAGGGAAUCUGAACACAGCUAUGAAGCGUGCACAUAUCGCCCGUCGCUCUCGUUGAAAAAUGAGAUAAGUCGUAACAUAGUAGGGGUAACGGAAGUUGUCCCUGGACGAA